GGCAAGGUGGCCGAGUGGUCUAAGGCGCACGGUUCAGGUUUACUGAGCCCCCAACUAUACUCAUCACGCAUGUGGUGGCAUGUAGUUUCCGUGUCUCGAAAGGGGCGUGGGUUCGAAUCCCACCCUUGUCA
rfam:Aspergillus calidoustus genome assembly, contig: SCAF28